GAUGAACGCUGGCGGUGUGCCUAAUACAUGCAAGUCGAGCGAAAAGACGAUGAGCUCGUUCCCCUGACGUUAGCGGCGGACGGGUGAGUAACACGUGCAUAACCUUCUUAUAAUUCUGGGAUAACUACGGGAAACCGGAGCUAAUACUGGCUAAUAUAUUGAACCGCAUGGUUCAAUAGUGAAUGACGGUUUUGGCGUCACUUAUAGCCGGAUCCGCGUCGCAUUAGCUAGUUGGUAAGGUAACGGCAUACCAAGGCGACGAUGCGUAGCCGACCUGAGAGGAUGAUCGGCCACACUGGAACUGAGACACGGUCCAGACUCCUACGGGAGGCAGCAGUGGGGAAUCUUGCACAAUGGGCGCAAGCCUGACGCAGCCACACCGCGUGAGUGAUGAAGGUCUUCGGGUCGUAAAGCUCUGUUGUUGGGAAAGAAAAGAUGCAUAAGUAUCCACGGCCGUCUUGACGGUACCCAAACAAUAAGCAACGGCUAACUUCGUG
rnacentral:rRNA from 1 species